rnacentral:siRNA from 1 species
CGUUGAGACUUAUGCUACGAUGCC